rnacentral:tmRNA from 1 species
GGGGGCGAUUUAGGCUCGACGGGGGUCGUAUGGGCACAGGAAGCGAGCCGCGGACCAUGACCGCGCACCAACAUGGAAAGGCAUAACUGCCAACAACGAUUACGCACUGGCUGCGUAACUAACGCGGCCCAUCCGCCCGGCCUGCGCCUGCGGGGCCGGAUCCGGGUGUCAGAUUAGCAGGCUACCGCCGGGCAGGCACCCUGGAGCCAGGCGGGAAAGCUACGGGGUUAGCCCAAGCGGCAUCCUGCUCCUGGGAGGCCGUGCGGGCGAACGCUAAAGCAGGAGCUACGCUCGUAGAGGCCUGUGUGGGUACACCUUCGGACGGGGGGUGCAAUUCCCCCCCGCCUCCACCA